ensembl:lncRNA
AUGCGAGAAAUAGAACGAGGGGACAUCAAAAGGUGUGCUUUUGUUUUAAUUGUCCAUUUUUUGGAUGAUACGUUUGCGAUCCGGCGCAUGAAUCCCGCGCACGGCCAGUGCCUGUGCGUGCGUAUGCGUGAGGCCCCGCAUUCAAACAGCGUAGGCUUCGUGUUACGUAACACCGUGGCCUAUGUGACAACCAUACCGGGGACCAUAAAACCAUUCCGCUGUGUCCGGAGUGACCAUGUUCGGGACACACGCACGCGCCUUCGUUCGCGGUUUGCACCUCCGGUCCGCAGCGAGACAACAGCAGCAGCAGCAGCUCGCGGGAGCGAAGUGAACCGAGAAGAUGCGUCCGAGGUGGGCAGUUUAAAUGAAAAGUUAUGUCAUAAAAAAAAAGAUCCGCGGCCGAUGCGAAUCCUGAUGAGCAGCAGAUGCGACCUGCAGGAGGCUCCAGCUUCUGGAUGCAGCUGAUCGACACCCAGCAGCGGCGGGCCUCGCAGCAACUGUUGCCAGCCGUGUCAUCCUGGUGGACACGAUGUGCUGACGGAGAAGUGUCCGCGCGCGCCAGUGCGACGGCGUCGGGGACGUUUGAGUGACAGCGGGACAUCAAUUAUACACGGCGGCCUGCGGAGAGACAGAGAGACGCGGGACUCACCGCGAUCAUCUUCUCCUUUCUAUUCCCCCGGACAGGACGAUCCGCUUCGGCAGCGCUGGUCGGUCGGAGCAGGAGGGGAGGGGGGGAGGUGGUGGUGGUGAGGGGGUGUAGGGGAGGGGGGGUGGGGCGGGGGUGGGAGGUCGGUCAAAUGGAGCCGGGCUGUCCGAAGGAUGGUUCCGGUGAAAUUGGUCACCCCCGCGCUGGAUCUCCUCCUGCCGUCUUCUCUCCACUCCCUUUCCUCUCCUCCCCCUGACCCGCUCGGCUCCGAGCGCCGCCGUCAAGACGGGGGGAGUAAGAGCGCCGCGCUUCCGGCGGAGGAUUUUCAAGUUAAAACGCAUAAAACCCAGCAGUGGUACGAGAAACGAAAAUACUAUCGUGAGUGUUAAUGUAAAGGUGUGGACACAGCCAGCAGCAGGCUAGCUUGACACAAAACCGUUUUGGAAUAAGAGAAAAGAUGGCGAUAAUUAGGCCUGAAAGUGAAUUGAUUAUUAUUGAAUGAUUAAAAAAUAUUCUUUCUUUCAUAAUUGUUUUAUUUAAUUCUGAACACCCAAAGAAUCCGUGGGCAGAUAUCCAUAGAGUGCUUUUGUCAAGAAUAUUAGUUUAUUAAACAAUGUUUUGUGGUUAACACGAUCUCCAAAGCACACAUCAGACAUUGCAUGUUGGUCAUUUUUUUAUCCACCUUGUUAAAUGUAUUUAUCGUUUUUAUCUUAUUCUAAGCUUUUGUUUUAGCUCUGGUCAAGUUAUUUUCAUUUAACAUAACACAAAUCUUCCUAGUGAGAUUCUCCACAUUAUGUACAGUUUACGCCACACUGUCCUUUACGACCCCCACUCGAUGAGGACAAAGAAGGAAAUAUGUGGACGAAACCAGAGGACAAGCAUAUGACGAGGUAGGACAUCCAGAUGUGUGUAAACAAAUGGACCAAGAUUUUUUUUUUAAUCACAGUAUACUAGACAAUCCAUAUGACCAAAUGAUACUGUGAAUGUAUAUGAAGGAUGACAAGCAGCUUCCAGGUGUCGCCAAACCGCUAAAGCCUGAGCCACACAACCUCCAUUCAGUCUUCGGAGAUCAGGCUGUUCAGUCAGUGUCUUCACACACGUGUGCAUUUGGCCAAUAAAACUUGUUCAAAU